GCACAACGCGAAGAACCUUACCUACUCUUGACAUCUAGCGAAGAUUGCAGAGAUGCAGUUGUGCCUUCGGGAACGCUAAGACAGGUGCUGCAUGGCUGUCGUCAGCUCGUGUUGUGAAAUGUUGGGUUAAGUCCCGCAACGAGCGCAACCCUUAUCCCUAGUUGCCAGCACGUAAUGGUGGGAACUCUAGGGAGACUGCCGGUGAUAAACCGGAGGAAGGUGGGGACGACGUCAAGUCAUCAUGGCCCUUACGAGUAGGGCUACACACGUGCUACAAUGGUACGUACAGAGGGAGGCAAGCUGGCGACAGUGAGCGGAUCUCUUAAAGCGUAUCGUAGUCCGGAUCGCAGUCUGCAACUCGACUGCGUGAAGUCGGAAUCGCUAGUAAUCGCGGAUCAGAAUGCCGCGGUGAAUACGUUCCCGGGUCUUGUACACACC
rnacentral:rRNA from 1 species